rnacentral:rRNA from 1 species
UUGCUCUUCAACGAGGAAUGCCUAGUAAGCGCAUGUCAUCAGCAUGCGUUGAUUACGUCCCUGCCCUUUGUACACACCGCCCGUCGCUACUACCGAUUGAAUGGCUCAGUGAGGCCUCCGGACUGGCUCGAAGAGGUUGGCAACGACCACUUCGAGCCGGAAAGCUGGUCAAACUCGGUCAUUUAGAGGAAGUAAAAGUCGUAACAAGGUUUCCGUAGGUGAACCUGCGGAAGGAUCAUUACCUAGAGUUUGUGGACUUCGGUCUGCUACCUCUUACCCAUGUCUUUUGAGUACCUUCGUUUCCUCGGCGGGUCCGCCCGCCGGUUGGACAACAUUCAAACCCUUUGCAGUUGCAAUCAGCGUCUGAAAAAACUUAAUAGUUACAACUUUCAACAACGGAUCUCUUGGUUCUGGCAUCGAUGAAGAACGCAGCGAAAUGCGAUAAGUAGUGUGAAUUGCAGAAUUCAGUGAAUCAUCGAAUCUUUGAACGCACAUUGCGCCCUAUGGUAUUCCGUAGGGCAUGCCUGUUCGAGCGUCAUUCAAACCUUCAAGCUCUGCUUGGUGUUGGGCGUCUGUCCCGCCUCACGGCGCGGACUCGCCUCAAAUCUAUUGGCGGCCGGCACGUUGGCUUCGAGCGCAGCAGAAACGCGAACUCGACCCCGACGGAUCGGCUCCCAGAAGCUACCCCCAUGAAUUUGACCUCGGAUCAGGUAGGGAUACCCGCUGAACUUAAGCAUAUCAAUAAGCGGAGGA